AAAACUUUCAACAACGGAUCUCUUGGUUCUGGCAUCGAUGAAGAACGCAGCGAAAUGCGAUAAGUAAUGUGAAUUGCAGAAUUCAGUGAAUCAUCGAAUCUUUGAACGCACAUUGCGCCCGCUAGUAUUCUGGCGGGCAUGCCUGUUCGAGCGUCAUUUCAACCCUCAAGCCCCUCGGGACUUGGUGUUGGGGACCGGCCAAGCCUCGUGCUCGCCGCC
rnacentral:rRNA from 1 species